GGUGACCAUCCUCAACUCCAAGAAGAACAUGAACAUUGGUAUCUUCCUCAAGCAGUUCAAAAGGUCAGUGAGUGGAAUGAUUGAUGACAUUAUCAACUGUAGAGGAGAAAGAUUUGGUACUGGGAAACUGAAGGAGUUGUGCAAACUACUGCCAGAGGAUGGAGAGGUGCGUCAGCUUCUUGAUUUUAAAGGAGACUAUUCAACUCUCUCCGAGGCAGAUCGGUUCAUGGUACAACUUGUCAAAGUUCCU